AAAGUCGUAACAAGGUUUCCGUAGGUGAACCUGCGGAAGGAUCAUUACAAAUCAUGUUCACUGGUCAGUCAGACUUGUCUGGCUGGCUAGGUGAACACAUUGGCACAGGGCAGCAGCACUGCAAGGUGACGCUGCCUUGAUGUUUACGCUUGUUUGUUUGACAGAGUAAAGUGAAGCUAAAAUAUAGACAACUUUUAACAAUGGAUCUCUUGGCUCUU
rnacentral:misc_RNA from 1 species